rnacentral:rRNA from 1 species
UACGUAGGGGGCAAGCGUUGUCCGGAUUUAUUGGGCGUAAAGAGCGUGUAGGCGGCCUGACAGGUCUGCUGUGAAAACUCGAGGCUCAACCUCGAGAUGUCGGCGGAAACCGUCUGGCUAGAGUCCGGAAGAGGAGAGUGGAAUUCCUGGUUUAGCGGUGAAAUGCGCAGAUAUCAGGAAGAACACCUAUGGCGAAGGCAGCUCUCUGGGACGGUACUGACGCUGAGACGCGAAAGCGUGGGGAGCGAACAGG